rnacentral:sRNA from 1 species
GCCGGGAGUGGUGGCACAAUCCUGUAGUCCCAGCUACUCGGGAGGCUGAGACAGGAGGCUAGCUUGAGUCCAGGUGUUCUGGGCUGUAGUGAGCUAUACAAAUCAGGUGUCCACACCAGGUUGCCUAAGAAGGGGUGAACUGGCCCAGGUCAGAAAUGGAGCAUGUAAAAAUUCCCGUGCUAACCAAAAUGACCCUUAUAAGAAGAGAAAAGGAUGCCAAUAAGUGUAGCCAUCAAUCUCAU